rnacentral:miRNA from 1 species
GUGCAGCUGAUCACAGACUGUG